UACAGAGGUCCCGAGCGUUGUUCGGAUUCACUGGGUUUAAAGGGUGCGUAGGUGGGCAGGUAAGUCAGUGGUGAAAUCUCCGGGCUUAACUCGGAAACUGCCAUUGAUACUAUCUGUCUUGAAUACCGUGGAGGUCAGCGGAAUAUGUCAUGUAGCGGUGAAAUGCUUAGAUAUGACAUAGAACACCAAUUGCGAAGGCAGCUGGCUACACGAAUAUUGACACUGAUGCACGAAAGCGUGGGGAUCAAACAGG
rnacentral:rRNA from 1 species